UUAACACAUGCAAGUCGAACGAGAAAGGGGACUUCGGUUCCUGAGUAAAGUGGCGCACGGGUGAGUAACGGGUAAUCUACCCUAGUGUACGGGACAACAUCGGGAAACUGGUGCUAAUACCGAAUACGCUUCUUUAGAUGCGAAUUUUUAGAAGGAAAGGUGGCCUCUUCAUGAAAGCUACUGCACAAGGAUGAGUCUGCGUACCAUUAGCUAGUUGGUGGGGUAAUGGCCUACCAAGGCUUCGAUGGUUAGCGGGUCUGAGAGGAUGAUCCGCCACACUGGCACUGGAACACGGGCCAGACUCCUACGGGAGGCAGCAGUGAGGAAUUUUGCACAAUGGGGGCAACCCUGAUGCAGCGACGCCGCGUGAGUGAUGAAGGCCCUUGGGUCGUAAAACUCUGUCAAUAGGGAAGAAGUGUCUAAUGGUUAAUACCCAUUAGAUUUGACGGUACCUAUAAAGGAAGCACCGGCUAAAUCCGUGCCAGCAGCCGCGGUAAUACGGAUGGUGCGAGCGUUGUUCGGAAUUACUGGGCGUAAAGGGCGCGUAGGCGGCCUGCCAAGUCAGAUGUGAAAGCCCACGGCUCAACCGUGGAAGUGCAUCUGAAACUGGUAGGCUUGAGUACUGGAGAGGAAAGUGGAAUUCCUGGUGUAGAGGUGAAAUUCGUAGAUAUCAGGAGGAAUACCGGUGGCGAAGGCGACUUUCUGGACCAACACUGACACUCAGACUCGAAGGCGUGGGGAGCGAACAGGAUUAGAUACCCUGGUAGUCCACGCAGUAAACGUUGACAACUAGGUGUCGCGGGUAUUGACCCCUGCGGUGCCGGAGCUAACGCAUUAAGUUGUCCGCCUGGGGAGUACGGCCGCAAGGUUAAAACUCAAAUGAAUUGACGGGGGCCCGCACAAGCGGUGGAGCAUGUGGUUUAAUUCGAUGCAACGCGAAGAACCUUACCAGGGCUUGACAUCCCGAGAAUUUAAACUUACUAGAGAUAGUUUGGUGCCUUCGGGAACGCAGUGACAGGUGCUGCAUGGCUGUCGUCAGCUCGUGUCGUGAGAUGUUGGGUUAAGUCCCGUAACGAGCGCAACCCUUGUCCUUAGUUGCCAGCACGUAAUGGUGGGAACUCUAAGGAGACUGCCGGUGACAACCGGAGGAAGGUGGGGACGACGUCAAGUCAUCAUGGCCCUUACGACCUGGGCUACACACGUGCUACAAUGGUCGGUACAGAGGGUUGCCAAGCCGCGAGGUGGAGCUAAUCCCAGAAAACCGAUCGUAGUCCGGAUUGGAGUCUGCAACUCGACUCCAUGAAGUCGGAAUCGCUAGUAAUCGCGAAUCAGAAUGUCGCGGUGAAUACGUUCCCGGGCCUUGUACACAUCGCCCGU
rnacentral:rRNA from 1 species